rnacentral:rRNA from 1 species
CAGUAGCCGCGGUAAAACGAGGGGGGCAAGCGUUGUUCGGAAUUAUUGGGCGUAAAGGGUGCGUAGGCGGUUCAGCAAGUCUCGUGUGAAAUCUUCGGGCUCAACCCGAAGUCUGCACGGGAAACUACUGGGCUUGAGUAAUGGAGAGGUGAGUGGAAUUUCCGGUGUAGCGGUGAAAUGCGUAGAUAUCGGAAGGAACACCUGUGGCGAAAGCGGCUCACUGGACAUUUACUGACGCUGAUGCACGAAAGCUAGGGAAGCAAACAGGAUUAGAUACCCCCGUAGUCCCUGUCUCUUAUAC